UCGGGGAUCUGCUAAUGGCUAGGCGGCCUGCCUUUGAAGCAGGAGGUGAAGGUUCGAGUCCUUCUCCCCGAG
rnacentral:tRNA from 1 species